GAGAGAGACAUGCGCGCAUAUCAAUAAGCGGAGGAAAAGAAACUAACAAGGAUUCCCUUAGUAACGGCGAGUGAAGCGGGAAGAGCUCAAAUUUGAAAUCCUCAAGGUUUUACCUUGACGAAUUGUAGUUUAAAGAAGUGUUUUCUGCUGAAGUUUUGGUAAAAGUUCUUUGGAAUAGGACAUCAUAGAGGGGUGAGAAUCCCGUAUUUGACCAUUAUUUUCAGCUUUGUGAUACACUUUCAAAGAGUCGGAUUGUUUGGGAAUGCAGUCCAAAAUGGGUGGUAAAUUUCAUCUAAAGCUAAAUAUUGGCGAGAGACCGAUAGCGAACAAGUACCGUGAGGGAAAGAUGAAAAGAACUUUGAAAAGAGAGUUAAACAGUACGUGAAAUUGUCAAAAGGGAAGCGUUUGACACCAGUGUUGUUUUCUCGAAAAUCAAUUAAAAAUGGCUCGAUUUUGUAUUGUUGAGACCUUAAAAGCUCACUGUACAUUUUUCGUGUCUUUUUUAAUGCACUUUUCGUUUAACAAGUCAACAUCAGUUUCUUUUGUUGUAAAAGGGUCAUUGGAAGGUGGCUUUCUUUUCGGAGAAAGUGUUUAUAGCCUUUGGCCUCUGCAAUCGGAGAGACUGAGGUCUGCAGCGUAGACUCUUCGGGGUUAGAUACAUUUGUGCUAAGUUAUAGCUUUUUAUAGACAACUUGUUGACUAUAAUUAGUCUUGUAGCUUACUCGCUUAUGCUAUUUUACCUACGCUUAGGAUGUUGAGUCGUAGAGCACGCAG
rnacentral:rRNA from 1 species